ACCCUGAUCACAUGGACCCUGGUGGGCACACAGACCUGGAUAGUAUGUAUUCAAGUUAAAAGUAUGUAUCCUCUGGAAACCAUGAAUGUCUUUAUAGAAUCUUGUGCCAGUGUCUUACAGGGUUGAGAUGUUUCCUCAGAUUAUUGAAAACUGGACCUGAACGAUUCGUCAUCUGGGGACAAUGAACAUCUGCACAUGAAAUCAUCCAAUAGUCAUUGAGAUAUUUGAGUCUGAACCAAAGUGAUGGAACGACCAAUCAUCUCCUGCCACUAAAAUACGACAAAACAAACUGCGUCUGAUGAAACCAGCUGAUUGAAAGUCUUCAUUAACCACUGAACACAUCGUUGUCCCAGUGGGAGUCGUGCAGAUCACAGGAUGUCUCAUUGGAGCUGCUCUCCCCAACAUCCAGAGACACAGCCUGGCGGUGGCGUUUAUAAAGUCCAUGGCCAAGUCAAAUAAACUCAGGGAAAAACCCUUUUGGAUGCGUUGCAUCUGGAAUCCGAGCGACGCUGAUGUCACUGAGUGCAAAGUGAGGAGACAAGAGACAAACAACAAGGCUCUCCCUUUCCUCCCGCCUCCCCUCGUUCACCCCACGUCCUAAUCCUCUUUGCAGGCCUGCAGGAGAAGGUCGGCCAGCUGCCAAGGCAAGGGCUGCUGGGAAAACGUGGCGGCUGCCAAGCGGGAACGGCGGUGGUGGUGAACACAGCUUGGUUCUGCCAGAGGCCUCAAUUCAGACUGGACCAGCGCCAGACCCCGCCCACUCACAAACCCCCCUCUCUCGUUUGGCCCAGAGAGAGAGAGAGAGAGAGAGAGAGAGAGAGGGAGAGAGAGAGAGAGAGACAGAGAGAGAGAGAGAGAGAGAGACAGAGAGAGAGAGAGAGAGAGAGAGAGAGAGAGAGGGAGAGAGAGAGAGAGAGACAGAGAGAGAGAGAGAGAGAGAGGAGAGAGAGGCGGGGGUGUGGGAUGUGCCACAUCUGCAGCCAUGUGUGUGUGUGUGUGUGUGUGUGUGUGUGUGUGUGUUUAUUUGGGGGGGGGCAGACUGGGGUCAAACAUGGAGGACGAGGCUUUGAGUUUAACAUGCGUUUCCCAAUCAGCUCAUAGGACAGAGGGGCGGAGCUCGAUCUCUCUUUAAAAUAGGAAUAAGCCUGAAAAGCAGAUGGGAGGAGCAGAUCUGUUCCUGGGAAUCCACCUCGUUACCGAGCCCACAUGACGAUGGCAGAGCGAAGGCGUCCAGCGGCUCGGAGACAACUCCUCUCGUCAGGAAAGUGUCUCCAGACCGCAGACGCUUUGAGGGGCGGAGACGAGGGUUGUUCUCUCAGAGUGGAAGAACAUGUUGAGACUCAGAGACUGAUGGAGUCAUCAGCUGGGGAGUGGUUACCUUUCAGCCCCCCCCAUGAAUCAGUGGAGGAUCCUCUGCUCCUCUUCCUCCUCCUCUUCCUCCACAGAUCUGUGAAAUAUUUUUUAAACGAGGAUGUGGACUCGUGGACGACCUCCGACCUGAACUCACUUCCUGUUCCUCUGGGCUCAGGAUCAGGGUGGGAGGAGCCUGGCAGCAGCUCGCUGAGCCAAAACAAAGAGUCAAGAACAAACGUGAAUGAUUUGCUCCUUGAAGGAAAGAACAGAACAACACAACCUGCUGGAAACUGAAACUGACUGAAAACCCAGAAAAGAUUUAACCAAACAAAGCAUCUCAACCAAAGUGAGUUUGAAUUUCAUGGACAAACCAAGAGCAAACCAAACGGUAGUUUUUAAUCUGCAGUUCCUCCAUGUGAAGUGUUUCAGAUACGACUGAAGAUGAAAUUCAUACCUUUAUUAAAUCUUUUCAUUACAUUCCUG